CCUACGGGAGGCAGCAGUAGGGAAUAUUGCGCAAUGGACGAAAGUCUGACGCAGCGACGCCGCGUGAGUGAUGAAGGCCUUAGGGUCGUAAAGCUCUGUUGCACGGAAAACGGUACCGUGCGAGAAAGGAUCGGCUAACUUCGUGCCAGCAGCCGCGGUAAGACGAGGGAUCCUAGCGUUGUUCGGAAUCAUUGGGCGUAAAGCGAAUGUAGGCUGCCAUUCAAGUCAGUUGUGAAAGCCCCGGGCUCAACCCGGGAAGUGCUUCUGAUACUGUUUGGCUUGAGUACUGGAGAGGAUAGUAGAAUUCCAGGUGUAGUGGUGAAAUACGUAGAUAUCUGGAGGAAUACCGGUGGCGAAGGCGGCUAUCUGGCAGUACUGACGCUGAGAUUCGAAAGCGUGGGGAGCAAACAGGAUUAGAUACCCUUGUAGUC
rnacentral:rRNA from 1 species